rnacentral:rRNA from 1 species
AGAGUUUGAUCAUGGCUCAGAUUGAACGCUGGCGGCAGGCCUAACACAUGCAAGUCGAGCGGUAGCACAGAGAGCUUGCUCUCGGGUGACGAGCGGCGGACGGGUGAGUAAUGUCUGGGAAACUGCCUGAUGGAGGGGGAUAACUACUGGAAACGGUAGCUAAUACCGCAUAACGUCGCAAGACCAAAGUGGGGGACCUUCGGGCCUCAUGCCAUCAGAUGUGCCCAGAUGGGAUUAGCUAGUAGGUGGGGUAACGGCUCACCUAGGCGACGAUCCCUAGCUGGUCUGAGAGGAUGACCAGCCACACUGGAACUGAGACACGGUCCAGACUCCUACGGGAGGCAGCAGUGGGGAAUAUUGCACAAUGGGCGCAAGCCUGAUGCAGCCAUGCCGCGUGUGUGAAGAAGGCCUUCGGGUUGUAAAGCACUUUCAGUGGGGAGGAAGGCGUUAAGGUUAAUAACCUUGGCGAUUGACGUUACCCGCAGAAGAAGCACCGGCUAACUCCGUGCCAGCAGCCGCGGUAAUACGGAGGGUGCAAGCGUUAAUCGGAAUUACUGGGCGUAAAGCGCACGCAGGCGGUCUGUCAAGUCGGAUGUGAAAUCCCCGGGCUUAACCUGGGAACUGCAUUCGAAACUGGCAGGCUAGAGUCUUGUAGAGGGGGGUAGAAUUCCAGGUGUAGCGGUGAAAUGCGUAGAGAUCUGGAGGAAUACCGGUGGCGAAGGCGGCCCCCUGGACAAAGACUGACGCUCAGGUGCGAAAGCGUGGGGAGCAAACAGGAUUAGAUACCCUGGUAGUCCACGCCGUAAACGAUGUCGAUUUGGAGGUUGUGCCCUUGAGGCGUGGCUUCCGGAGCUAACGCGUUAAAUCGACCGCCUGGGGAGUACGGCCGCAAGGUUAAAACUCAAAUGAAUUGACGGGGGCCCGCACAAGCGGUGGAGCAUGUGGUUUAAUUCGAUGCAACGCGAAGAACCUUACCUGGUCUUGACAUCCACAGAACUUUCCAGAGAUGGAUUGGUGCCUUCGGGAACUGUGAGACAGGUGCUGCAUGGCUGUCGUCAGCUCGUGUUGUGAAAUGUUGGGUUAAGUCCCGCAACGAGCGCAACCCUUAUCCUUUGUUGCCAGCAGUCCGGCCGGGAACUCAAAGGAGACUGCCAGUGAUAAACUGGAGGAAGGUGGGGAUGACGUCAAGUCAUCAUGGCCCUUACGACCAGGGCUACACACGUGCUACAAUGGCAUAUACAAAGAGAAGCGACCUCGCGAGAGCAAGCGGACCUCAUAAAGUAUGUCGUAGUCCGGAUUGGAGUCUGCAACUCGACUCCAUGAAGUCGGAAUCGCUAGUAAUCGUAGAUCAGAAUGCUACGGUGAAUACGUUCCCGGGCCUUGUACACACCGCCCGUCACACCAUGGGAGUGGGUUGCAAAAGAAGUAGGUAGCUUAACCUUCGGGAGGGCGCUUACCACUUUGUGAUUCAUGACUGGGGUGAAGUCGUAACAAGGUAACCGUAGGGGAACCUGCGGUUGGAUCACCU